rnacentral:rRNA from 1 species
UACGGAGGUGGCAAGCGUUGUUCGGAAUUACUGGGCGUAAAGGGCGCGUAGGCGGCCGCCUAAGUCAGACGUGAAAUCCUUCGGCUCAACCGGGGAACUGCGUCUGAUACUGGGCGGCUUGAAUUCGGGAGAGGAAUGCGGAAUUCCAGGUGUAGCGGUGAAAUGCGUAGAUAUCUGGAGGAACACCGGUGGCGAAGGCGGCAUUCUGGACCGACAUUGACGCUGAGGCGCGAAAGCCAGGGGAGCAAACGGG